GCCCGCGGUGGCUCAGAUGGAUAGAGCGUCUGCCAUGUAAGCAGGAGAUCCUGGGUUCGAGCCCCGGUCGGGGCA